rnacentral:rRNA from 1 species
UGGUGAGUAAUAUGAGUAUCUAGUGGGCUAUUUUUGGUAAGCAGAACUGGCGCUGUGGGAUGAACCAAACGUCGAGUUAAGGGGCCUAAAUGAAUGCUCAUUCAGAUCCCAUCGAAAGGCGUUGGUUGCUAUAGACAGCAGGACGGUGGCCAUGGAAGUCGGAAUCCGCUAAGGAGUGUGUAACAACUCACCUGCCGAAGCAACUAGCCCUUAAAAUGGUAUGGCGCUGAAGCAUUCUCCCGAUACUCGACCGCCGGGGCACUAGCGGCCACGUCCCAGAGGCGAGGUCUCGAAGCCCCGGUGAGUAAGAGGGUCGCAGUGGUGAGCGCUGAAGGGAUCCGGCGUGAGCCGGCCUGGAGCCUCCACUGGUGCAGAUCUUGGUGGUAGUAGCAAAUACUCGAGAGAGACUCCCUUGAAGACCGAAGUGGAGAAGGGUUCCAUGUGAACAUCAGUUGGACAUGGGUUAGUCGCUCCUAAGCUCAAGGCUAAGGCCUGAUCCCAUGGUAACGGC